rnacentral:tRNA from 1 species
GCGGGCAUGGUUUAGUGGUAGAACGUGACCUUGCCAAGGUUAAGACGGGAGUUCGAUUCUCCCUGCCCGCACCA